CCGACCCAAAAACCUUCUCCGGCCGAUUUCUCCACCAUCCGACGUCGCCUCGUGUCGUGCCACCUAUCAAACUGACGGGCUCGACGAGCUCCAUCUUUUGGGCUACGCCUUGCACUCCGGCGACAACCACACACGGUGUAGCAACCGCCGGAAGUUACUGCUGUGGCGGCGCCGCCUCCUCCGGCCACCAUGGCUCAAGAUUCUUGGGGGGUUUUGCUUGUCUCAGUCCCAGCAACAUUCCCACAAAAGGAAUCGAGCCAAAUCGAAGUGUGACUGACGAAACGAGUGAGGAAAUUACUUUCAGGGUCGUGGAAGUUGCACGCAGGAAAGAAGUGGAUAACUCCGCAGGUGUGGAUUAGCGGGAAUUGACGGACCACUCAGAGAACUUGAAGUUAUUUAUCUCCAGCUUAUGUGAGGAUUUUGUGUGACUAUCUUGUGAGGUUGUUGU